rnacentral:tRNA from 1 species
AUAGCUCAGUGGUAGAGCUCAUGCUUAGCAUGCACAAGGUCCUGGGUUCAAUCCCCAGU